UUUUGCCAGCCAGUGCACUUUGUGUCAACCACUGAUGGCUAAUAGAGUAAAUAAUUAUAAAGCUACCUUGCCAUAAAUCGCAAGGUAGCUUUAUAAUUAGUUUCUCUCUUUUCCUCUCUUGCUGCACUGAAGUGGAGAUAGUAGCCGCAUCAAACAUCACGGAUAACCUCCCCUCUACACUGGGCUGCAGGGGGGGGUUGACUUCGCCCCCCCCCGAAAUGAUGAGGAAGAGCAUGAAUCAAACUGCUCCCGGGAGGCUCACAGGGAGAUGUGAGUCGUCAGCUUCGGCUCGGUGGCCAAGCCGCCGGCGGUCAGACUGGGAUCGCUUUCCCUCCAUCAGCAGGAUGUUAAGAGCCAAAACCCUGAGUGGUCUGCAAUGUGAGGCCUGAAAGACAGGGGUUGCAGAGCAGUUUAACAGCGAGUGCUAUGAGUUGGAAAAUGUGCGAUUUUCUCUGGAGGAUGUCAACUAAUCUACUCGGAUAAGAAACAUUCAAACGCAAUUUGACGAAACAACUACUGAAGCGCCAAACUAAUGCAAGUCCCAAGCGUCCUGCUUCACAACAACCUGCAACCGAUGAGUCAAGUGGAGUCUAUAUUUCAAAGAGGGCACUGCGUUGUAGCUGAGGCAAUUACAAACAAGCUUUCACCCCCUGAAAAGCUGCCAACGAGUUUACGCCUCUGUCAGCAGUUUGCUUCGGGGCUUCUGUUGAAGCAACGUGAUGAUUUUCAGUCCCAGUUACUGUAUCAUGACCAAAGUUUGUCUACCUGCCUCGGGGGAAGUGAUAAAAAAACAAAAAAACACACGGCAAGUAUUUAUCCUGUGUAGUCAAGAAGUCGUCUCUUGAAAGGAUAAGAGGGGUCUGGAAGUGGGAGAAGAAUGGAGUCUUCAAAGAGCAGGAGAGACACUGCAGCCAAACUUCCAUUACACCUUGCGGCAGUGGAAUAAAGCAAAAGCAGCAGGGAAGUAUUAAUUCACUGUGCUGGAUCGCUGGUGUUUAUCUCCUUUCGCUGUGGCCCAACAUAUAACUUUGUUUGCUCGUUUGGCUCUGUUGCUACUGGGAGAUUAAUAGGUUCUCCGUGGAGAACCUCCCUUGAUCACGUACAUCCAUGUGAGGUGGAUCAUAUUUCACUGCUGUAAAAUGUAGACACAACCGAUGUAAGAAUGCUGCUGGGAGAACCUCACUUUGUGUACGAGUGGAUCCCUGUUGAAAGGGAAAAAAACAACUAAUAUUGAAUUUCAAAACUUUACCUUAAGAAAUAUACACUUUUUUUUA
ensembl:lncRNA